UUGAGAAUUUCAUGGGCUAUUCUUGUUUCAUGGGCUUAUUCUUGAUGCCUUUUGGGACACUUCGGAUUGUUGAAAGAUUAAUAUUCUUGUUGCGUUUUUAAGCGCGAAGUAUCAGUGAAAUUUUCUUCGAUACGUUGGAAAGGUUAGGAAGACGAGAAUUUGACAUUGCCUCGUAGCUUCCCUUAUUGGUUUGGAGUGUGCUGGUGAUCGAAGUUGUGCUUUUUUGUCGGAACUACUAAAGGAAGGCAUGGAUGAGAACCAGCAGCAAAGCAAAGCAAACAAAAGUGCUGAUGAGGUGCCACUUGAGUCUGUAAAUGGAAAGAAAACACUGAAAAAUGACGGUAGGGAAUACAUUGCUUGCACUAUAAAGUAUUGAAAGUAAUUUGCAACUCUCCAUAUUUGUUAUUUGUAAUUGACAUGCUUUGCACAGGUGUUGUGGGGUUAGUGGAGAAGUUAACUGUAUUUCAAAAAUUAAAUCACUUUAAAUUGCAGUGAAAGCUAUUACUUUUAUAGUUAUAAAAGUAUCAAAGGUAACUUCUCUGAGAACCUUCUCCAGUGUCUGUGAUAUAGAAGUGUCCACUAAAUAUAGGUUCAUUUAUUAAGAAAUGUGGGAAGAAUAGUAUGCAACUGAAAAUACAAGUAAGGACUGGAAAAGAAUAUUUAUUCCUUGCUAGUAAUCUCAGAACAGCUGUGUGGAGCUGGAAAUUAACAGUGCUGGAAUACAACAGUAAAUCCUGCUGAUAAACUGAGAACAGCUGUGUGGGGCUGGAAAUUAACAGUGCUGGAAUACAAUAGUUAACUCCUGCUGAGAAACUGAGAACAGCUGAGAGGGGCUGGAAAAUAACAGUGCUGGAAUACAACAGUUAUCCACUACUGAAAUUCAGAAACAGGAAACUUUUAAAUACUUUUGUGCAACAAUAUACUGAGCAUGCAGUAAUAUCUUCCAUUGCCUCAAUUCCAGUUACUUGUAGAAAGGUCAUCUCUGAACCAUUAAAUAGGAUCUGUUUUACCCGUUAUGGAAGAAAAAAUCUUAACCCUUUAACCCCUAAAAGUGACCAGCUUCUAAUUUCUCCUUACAAUAUCUCCCCUGAAUCAAACAUUGAGUUCAUGAGAAUAAAGGAAAUGACCAACAAUUUAUAAAUCUCUUGAUUUUUAUAAAAACUCUCUUUGUCAGGGCUUCAGGAAAUGUAUAGAGAACAGUAUGGAGAAUAUGCAUAAUGAUGUUAGGGUGUAAAGGGUUAAUCAAUAAAUGUAUGUUAAAGGUAGCAAUCUUCUAUAACUAUUACUUAUUCACAAAUACUAUAUUUUAUUUAGCAGAUUGUAGCUUCAAUGGAUGCCAGAAAUAUUUUUAUGAAAAACUGGCAGAUACAGUUUUGUAUUGUACUCCAGGAUAUACAUCUUUCCCAAAAGAUGGUAUUUCUUCAGAGAAGAAUGAAAACUUAAAUGCUUUCUUUAAUCAGUAUAAAAGACGAUUUUUUGAACGACGUAGCCUGAAAAGACCAGUCUACACACUAAAACUUGACCAAGAAGGUAAGAUUGUCCGUGACAAAAAUGGCAUCCUUGUUGUUUUGGUCAACAGUUAUGUUCAAGGAGAGCUUAAGACUACAAAGCAACUUCUCUACAGAGAGGCUGUAGAUGGUGUAUUAAGCAGUUUACACUACAUUAAAGGUGUCCUUGGAGAGGAUACUUGCCUCCCUGGAGGGGUGAAUGCCUUGAGUAGGCUAUUCAAUCAAAAAUAUGUAUUUAAGGGUAUUUUCAACCUUAUUAGGGCCUUCUUGGCUCGAUGCUCAACAUGUCAGGUCAACAACCCCUUGCCAAUGCGAGUGCUUCCCCCUCCUGUCCCCAUUAGAUCUUUUCGCCCCCAUUCCAGACUACAGUGUGACCUUAUUGACAUGGCCCCAAAGAAGCACCGUAGUUUUAUGCAGAAUAAUUGUUGGAGCUACCGUUACAUUCUAACAGUCAAGUGCUGUUUCUCGAAGUUUUGUUGGCUGUUCCCGUUAAAAACAAAGUC